GGCAGCAGUGGGGAAUCUUCGGCAAUGGGCGAAAGCCUGACCGAGCAACGCCGCGUGAAUGAUGAAGGCCUUCGGGUUGUAAAAUUCUGUUAUAAGGGAAGAACGACUUUAGUAGGAAAUGGCUAAAGUGUGACGGUACCUUAUGAGAAAGCCACGGCUAACUACGUGCCAGCAGCCGCGGUAAUACGUAGGUGGCAAGCGUUAUCCGGAAUUAUUGGGCGUAAAGAGCGCGCAGGUGGUUGAUUAAGUCUGAUGUGAAAGCCCACGGCUUAACCGUGGAGGGUCAUUGGAAACUGGUCGACUUGAGUGCACAAGAGGGAAGUGGAAUUCCAUGUGUAGCGGUGAAAUGCGUAGAGAUAUGGAGGAACACCAGUGGCGAAGGCGGCUUCCUGGUCUGUAACUGACACUGAGGCGCGAAAGCGUGGGGAGCAAACAGGAUUAGAUACCCUGGUAGUCCACGCCGUAAACGAUGAGUGCUAAGUGU
rnacentral:rRNA from 1 species